rnacentral:rRNA from 1 species
CAGAAUGCCACGGUGAAUACGUUCCCGGGCCUUGUACACACCGCCCGUCACACCAUGGGAGUGGGUUGCAAAAGAAGUAGGUAGCUUAACCUUCGGGAGGGCGCUUACCACUUUGUGAUUCAUGACUGGGGUGAAGUCGUAACAAGGUAACCGUAGGGGAACCUGCGGUUGGAUCACCUCCUUACCUUAAAGAAGC